rnacentral:rRNA from 1 species
GGACCCGCACAAGCAGCGGAGCAUGUGGUUUAAUUCGAAGCAACGCGAAGAACCUUACCAAGGCUUGACAUCGCAUGACCGGUAUAGAGAUAUACCUUUCCCUUCGGGGACAUGCAGACAGGUGGUGCAUGGUUGUCGUCAGCUCGUGUCGUGAGAUGUUGGGUUAAGUCCCGCAACGAGCGCAACCCUUAUCAAUAGUUGCCAAUAUUAAGUUAGGAACUCUAUUGAGACUGCCGUGGAUAACACGGAGGAAGGUGGGGAUGACGUCAAAUCAUCAUGCCCCUUACGUCUUGGGCUACACACGUGCUACAAUGGCUAUUACAAAGAGUUGCGAAGUGGUAACACGGAGCCAAUCUCAAAAAAAUAGUCCCAGUUCGGAUUGUGGGCUGCAACCCGCCCACAUGAAGUCGGAGUUGCUAGUAAUCCCGAAUCAGCAUGUCGGGGUGAAUGCGUUCCCGGGUCUU